UCGAAGCCUCCGAAUGACCCGCGAACUAGUUAUUCAAAAGUCGGGGUGUCGGUCUAAUCCCCUUCACCCCGUGUGCUGGUGGUGGCCACGCGUGCCCGUCACUUGCCCAACAAACCAACCCCGGCGCGGCAUGCGCCAAGGAACUUUGCAUCAUAAGAAGGAUCACACUCCCGACCGUGCCGAAAAUCGGAUCACGCGGUCGGUGGCUGUUAUCCUGUUCAUAACAAAAACGACUCUCGGCAAYGGAUAUCUAGGCUCUUGCAUCGAUGAAGAACGUAGCGAAAUGCGAUACUUGGUGUGAAUUGCAGAAUCCCGUGAACCAUCGAGUCUUUGAACGCAAGUUGCGCCCGAAGCCUUCUGGCCGAGGGCACGUCUGCCUGGGUGUCACACAUCGUCGCCCCCAAACCAAAUACCUCACCAGAGAUACUUGGAAGAGGAUGGGCGGAUAAUGGUCUCCCGUGCGCACCCGUUCGCGGUUGGCCCAAAAGUAAGUUCCCGGCGAUAGCAAGCCACGACAAGCGGUGGUUGAUUAGACCCUCGAUYGGAGUCGUGAGCACCYGCCUCGCACGUUGGAAYAGGUAGACCCUGAACGUGCUCGAAGAACUUCGAACACUCACGAA
rnacentral:misc_RNA from 1 species